UACGUAGGGUGCAAGCGUUGUCCGGAAUUAUUGGGCGUAAAGAGCUCGUAGGCGGUUUGUCGCGUCGGCUGUGAAAACCUGGGGCUCAACCCCGGGCCUGCAGCCGAUACGGGCAAACUAGAAUUCGGUAGGGGAGACUGGAAUUCCUGGUGUAGCGGUGAAAUGCGCAGAUAUCAGGAAGAACACCGGUGGCGAAGGCGGUGGGCUGGGCCGGCACUGACGCUGAGGAGCGAAAGCGUGGGGAGCGAACAGG
rnacentral:rRNA from 1 species